GUGAGUCAUCGAAUCUUUGAACGCACAUUGCGCUCGAGGCUUCGGCCGAGAGCAUGUCUGCCUCAGCGUCGGCCCAUCCCCUCACAACCCCUUCCCAGUCGUUCCAUUGGAGCCUGGCGGGGGCUGUGGAUCUGGCCGUGUCGGCCGCUGCCCUCUCUCCCUGCCGGGAAGUGGGCAUGCGGCCGAGUCGGCUGAAGCUCAGAGGCCUGAGCAAGAGCCCAUUCAACCGGGCAUCAACAAGGUGGGUGGCCCUCUGGGCUGCAUUGCCGUUGAUGACCGGGGGACUUGCUGGGGGCCUGC
rnacentral:misc_RNA from 1 species